UGACUAUAUAGGCCCAGUUUAUGUACU
rnacentral:sRNA from 1 species